rnacentral:misc_RNA from 1 species
UGGAUGGCACUGAGGAUU